CACACACACACACACACGUUUAAAGGGUUGUCUAUGUGUGAAUGAGUGAGUGAGUGUGUGUGUGUGCAUUUUUUUUCCCCUCGUGCAGUCUUUACUGGAAAACAUUUCGCACCCAGACAGGCUACGGAGCGAUCGCCGUUCUUUUGGCAUAAAUGAACUUCUCGUAAACUUUGUCUAUUUAAAAAAAAAAACAGAAGUGAAAAUCUCUAUUCUCAUUAAUGGUGCUGAUUUUAGGCAUGAUUGACCUCUGCUUAUUUUUUUUAAUACAAGCUGCCCUUCCUUUUUAUGUUGAUUACUUUUCCGCAGUAGGAUUUUUACUGGAUGAAAGGUGCCUGAUUUACUGCUUACAGGAUGGCAGCGAUGUUCCCCUGCGUGGCCGCACUCGCGGUGCUGGGUUAUGCGAUUACCGCGCUUCCCACGCAAGACUCCAGAAAUUCUCACCAGGGACGCUGGCGCAGGGCGGACUUGCUGUGCCCUCCAGGGGAGUAUGUUACUCAAGACAGACGGUGCGUUCCCUGCCCCCUCGGCUACUUCUCGGCCCACCACAGCAAAGAAAGGUCGUGCCGCCGCUGCUCGCAGGACUGCAGAGAAGUUAUGCACCUAGAAGCCUACAGGAGCUGCAAUGCCACAUCUAAUACAAGAUGCAAAUGCAAGGAAGGGUUUGAAUGCAGCGACUACGACUAUGAGACGCAAAGCUGCAACUUGUGUAAACCCGUGGUGCGAGCAGUGACAGAAGUUCCCUGUAAGGCUGGUACUUUCUUCAGUGCGUCUUCAGGAGGAUGCAAGCAACACACCAACUGUACGUCUCUGGGUCUCACGGUACUGACUGCAGGGAACUCUACGCACAACACUAUUUGUGUCCAAAGGAGCCGAACAGAGGCCAGAGUUGAGUGGUGGUACAUCUUCGUGGCGGUCCUCCCAUUCGUCAUCGUGACAGCUGUCUUGCUGAUUUGGAGACUUGAACACAAAGCCUGUUUAAAAAAGAUCAUAAAAUUUGGUGCAGCUGAAGGGCACAAGAAAGAAAAUCUGUGCCCUCCUCGAAGUCCUACCAGCGUCUCUGAUCUGCUGUUUGGGACGACCUCUAACUGCAGCCCGGAACCGUCCUUCGGCACAGAGCCAGCAGCCCCACAGGCCACUGGGAGUCUGGGUCCCUUUCAUAUUUACAGUGCUGGGACCGUUUUUGUCAGCCUGCUGAAUCAAGUGACCGGCGUGGGGAAGGACGCUGACAAGGAAAGGAGGGCUCGGAGGGAGGACGGCGACGGGCUCGGCCCCGUUGAGCCGCCGUCCUCUCCGCCCGUCCACCUCUCGGAGGAGGAGAGGGACGAACAAAAGGACUGCAUCUUCUUUCCAUCCCAGGAGCAAGGAAAAGAGAUUCACUUAUCCAAAGAGGAGAGGAUGUAA
rnacentral:lncRNA from 1 species